rnacentral:rRNA from 1 species
UACGAAGGGGGCUAGCGUUGUUCGGAAUUACUGGGCGUAAAGCGCACGUAGGCGGAUCGAUCAGUCAGGGGUGAAAUCCCAGAGCUCAACUCUGGAACUGCCUUUGAUACUGUCGGUCUAGAGUAUGGAAGAGGUGAGUGGAAUUCCGAGUGUAGAGGUGAAAUUCGUAGAUAUUAGGAAGAACACCAGUGGCGAAGGCGGCUCACUGGUCCGGUACUGACGCUGAGGUGCGAAAGCGUGGGGAGCAAACAGG